rnacentral:rRNA from 1 species
GCUGACGGGAGUGCAACUGACGCUGAAGCUCGAAAGUGCGGGUAUCGAACAGGAUUAGAUACCCUGGUAGUCCGCACGGUAAACGAUGGAUGCCCGCUAUUCGCUCGAAUGAGUGAGUGGCCAAGCGAAAGCAUUAAGCAUCCCACCUGGGGAGUACGCCGGCAACGGUGAAACUCAAAGGAAUUGACGGGGGCCCGCACAAGCGGAGGAACAUGUGGUUUAAUUCGAUGAUACGCGAGGAACCUUACCCGGGCUUGAAUUGCAGAUGAACGAUCCAGAGAUGGUGAGGCCCUUCGGGGCAUCUGUGAAGGUGCUGCAUGGUUGUCGUCAGCUCGUGCCGUGAGGUGUCGGCUUAAGUGCCAUAACGAGCGCAACCCCUGUUCUUAGUUGCCAUCAGGUAAUGCUGGGCACUCUGGGAAUACUGCCACCGUAAGGUGUGAGGAAGGUGGGGAUGACGUCAAAUCAGCACGGCCCUUACGUCCGGGGCUACACACGUGUUACAAUGGCCGGUACAGAGAGUUGGUCGUGCGCAAGUACGGUCUAAUCCAUAAAACCGGUCUCAGUUCGGACUGGGGUCUGCAACCCGACCCCACGAAGCUGG